CCCAGUCCAGCCAGGCCCACUGCCCGCCGACCGCUGCCGCGCCCGGUGUUCGCCAGCAUGUCCUUCAUCCCGGUGGCCGAGGAUUCUGACUUCCCCAUCCACAACCUACCCUAUGGCGUCUUCUCCACCGCAGGCAACCCAAGACCCAGGAUCGGCGUGGCCAUAGGCGACCAGAUCCUGGACCUCAGUGUCAUUAACCACCUCUUCACUGGGCCUGUCCUCUCCAAACACCAGGAUGUCUUCUCUCAGCCUGUUCUCAACAGCUUCAUGGGCUUGGGUCAGGCAGCCUGGAAGGAGGCCAGAGCGUGCUUACAGAACUUGCUGUCUGCUGGCCAGGCGAGGCUGAGAGAUGAUGCAGAGCUGCGGAAGCGUGCAUUCACCUCCCAGGCCUCUGCUAUAAUGCACCUGCCAGCCACCAUAGGAGACUACACAGACUUCUAUUCCUCUCGGCAGCAUGCUACCAACGUUGGGAUCAUGUUCAGGGGCAAGGACAAUGCACUGAUGCCGAACUGGCUACACUUACCUGUGGGCUACCAUGGCCGUGCCUCCUCUGUCGUGGUGUCUGGCACCCCGAUCCGAAGGCCCAUGGGACAGAUGAAGCCUGAUGACUCUAAGCCCCCUGUAUAUGGCCCCUGCAAACUCCUGGACAUAGAGUUGGAAAUGGCUUUCUUUGUAGGCCCCGGGAACAGACUCGGGGAGCUGAUCCCCAUCUCCAAGGCCCAUGAGCACAUUUUCGGGAUGGUGCUGAUGAACGACUGGAGUGCUCGAGACAUUCAGAAGUGGGAGUAUGUCCCUCUUGGGCCUUUCCUGGGGAAGAGUUUUGGAACCACCAUCUCUCCGUGGGUGGUGCCCAUGGACGCCCUCCUGCCCUUUGCUGUGCCAAAUCCAGAGCAGGAUCCCAAGCCCCUGCCGUACCUGUGCCACGACCAGCCCUACACGUUUGACAUCGACCUCUCUGUCAUGCUGAAAGGAGAAGGAAUGAGCCACUCAACCACCAUAUGCAGGUCCAAUUUCAAGAGUUGCUGCGACCACCUAGUACACACUUUCUGUGCACGUUCCUGCUGGGUGUAUAUCCAGGAGUGGAAUUGCUGGUCAUAGAGAACAUGCACACUCAGCAUGGAAACCUCCAGUCUCCCAAAGUGCUCACCCUGAUUUACACCUGCUUGCAGCGUUUUAGCAUUUCAGCUGCUCCACGUCCUCGUCAGCAUGAGGUGUCAUUUGCCUGUUCAUUCCAACCAUUCUGGGGGACUGUGAUUUCAGUUUGCAUUUCCCUGGUGAGGGGUGCACCUGGGUGCCUUUGUCGUGUGUUUAUCAUCUGUUUGUUUAGGGCCACUGGAAGACACUCUGAAUCCCUGCAUUUCGAAUUCCCCUCAUCUCCCUUUAAUCUGACAUUAUUCUGGACUCCGUAAGCUAUUAAGAAGCAACAAGGGGGCCUGUUGAGAGGGCUCAUGGCUAAGAACUGUCUCUGGUCUAAGGCUGCCUCUGAGCCUCUCAAUGGCCACAUGGCUCCUUGGCCCCCUCCGUCCACAUCCCAGCCUCCCUGAGUGUUCCUUCUUCCUCAGUCUGCUCUGAUGUCAUAUUAGAAUCAUUCUGCUCCAUUGCCCAAUGUCCCCUCCAAAGCCUGGGAUGGGAGAAUGUGAGUGGGGCAUUUGCUCACAAGAAGCAUCUGCCGAAGUGAGGACCUAGACCCCACCUAGGGCUCAAGGGUGCCCAUGGGCAGCUGAGAAUCACAUACAGAUGGGGAUGCUGCUGACUGGGGGCGAAGCAGUGAGGGGGGCUCUCAGGCAGUGCUUCUUGGAGAAGGAGGUAGAGGAGGAACUAAUCUCCUGGAGGAGGUAGGAGAGAACUUGGGAGGUCCCCAGGCAGCUGUCCAGGAGGACAGUGUGCUGUUGCUCUAAGGGAUCAGGGAGAGUUGGCUGGGGCAGCCAGGAAAGGGCAUGGUGACUGGGUGAGGGUGAGUGUGCACCUGCGGCCCCACUGUGUGCCUCCCACAGUAUAUGUACUGGACAAUGCUGCAGCAGCUCACGCAUCACUCUGUCAAUGGCUGCAAUCUGCGACCAGGGGACCUCUUGGCUUCUGGAACCAUCAGUGGGCCAGAACCAGAAAGCUUUGGCUCC